UACGUAGGCAGCGAGCGUUGUUCGGAAUUACUGGGCGUAAAGAGUGUGUAGGCGGUGCCUUAAGUUCGGUGUGAAAUCUCCCGGCUCAACUGGGAGGGUGCGCCGGAAACUGGGGUGCUCGAACGUGGGAGAGGAAAGCGGAAUUCCUGGUGUAGCGGUGAAAUGCGUAGAUAUCAGGAGGAACACCUGUGGUGUAGACGGCUUUCUGGACCAUUGUUGACGCUGAGACACGAAAGCGUGGGUAGCAAACAGG
rnacentral:rRNA from 1 species